GGACCCCUAGCUCAGCGGUUAGAGCAGCGGACUCAUAAUCCGUUGGUCCUGGGUUCAAAUCCCAGGGGGUCCACCA
rnacentral:tRNA from 3 species